UACGUAGGGGGCAAGCGUUGUCCGGAUUUAUUGGGCGUAAAGAGCGUGUAGGCGGCUUUACAGGUCCGUUGUGAAAACUCGAGGCUCAACCUCGAGACGCCGGUGGAAACCGUAAGGCUAGAGUCCGGAAGAGGAGAGUGGAAUUCCUGGUGUAGCGGUGAAAUGCGCAGAUAUCAGGAAGAACACCCGUGGCGAAGGCGGCCUGCUGGGCAGUUGCUGACACUGAGGCGCGACAGCGUGGGGAGCAAACAGG
rnacentral:rRNA from 1 species